GGGAAUGUGGCUUCGUGGCAGAGUGCUUGCCUAGCAUGCAUGAAGCCAUAGGUUCGAUUCCUCAGUACCG
rnacentral:tRNA from 1 species